AGUUAGUGCCGCCUGGGACGCCAUCUUGUCAGAACGUGUAUUUCUCUAGCACUCCGCGAUCGAAAAUGGCACAAAAGCAGACAGAUAGUGAGCGUAUUAGGCAACUUUUAGAGGAUGCAUCUACUCCAGAGUUGACUCCAGAACGGGACCCAUACAGUGAUGAUGGCGAAUA